ensembl:lncRNA
AAUACAUAAGUAUAUGUACUUGGGAAGCCCAGUUAAGAGAUUAUUGGGUGACUGAUGCUAUAAAACUGACCUAAAGAAUGGUCCUGUCCGUGGAGAAGUGUUAGUUGUCCUGAUGUUUGGAAGAGCUCUAUUUAAAAGUGUGUGUGAGAGGAAGGUGUGUGUGUGACUGAUGAUGUCAGGGGAGCACCCAGAGAAAUAGACAGAUGAGUUAAACUCUAAGAAGAUGAAGCGAAUGCAUGUUUUAAGAAAAAGUAAUAAAAAUCACACAUACAAACAGAAAAUGCACUAACCUUACAGAGACAAGCUCAUGAAGAUUAAUGAACAGAUAAUGACUUAAAACCUGGCUAAGAACACAAACAUACGUAAUUAAAUCAGCCUGCUAAUUUCAUGAGGGUUAAAAUGGUGUGAAUGGUUAAUACAAUUGAUGGAAAGAUUUAAAAUAGAUGGAAAAACAAAAGAAAAGUGUCUAUAAGAGUGACUCAGGAGUGCUCUUGCACUGAUUUAUCAAAGUAAGUGAUUAGUAUAGAAAGAAAAUGAAAAUAAUUCAAUGAUGUGAUAAGGUUUAAAAACAUGUAUUCCUCUUGUUAAGUUGGCUGUUGAGCUGUGGGUUUAUGCAAAUUAGCUGGAGUGAGUGAGUGACAAAGACACUUCCUGUGUGCGUGUGUGGCGGAGGCUUUCGGUUCAGUUCAAGAGAGAGCAGUGGCUGUUGAAGAGUAUUGGGAGAAAUAUAUAAUGGUAAAGUAUCAGGAUAUUUGAUUACGGUGGUCAGGUCUGUUCAGAGGGGCAGAUUUGGACAGGAAAUUUAUAAUUUAAGGAUGAUAUGUGGUUGAAAUUGGUUUUUAUCUUGUGCUGAAUGAAAACGGUCUUUGAUCUUUUGACGAGGUUUUCGGUGUGUUGAACGGGUGAAAUUUAAGAUUGUUUCAGAUUUUGAGGCUGUUGUUUUAUUUCCAGAGAGGGUGUUUCAUUAAGGCAGGGAUAGGUCUGAGAGGGGCCCCAAAAAUUUUUUGUAGUAGUAAGUGCACUCAGGAAAAAACCUGUCAGGUGAUUUUGUUUGGUACUUUGAUGAGCUAAUAAUCAGCUCUCUUUUUUCAUUUUUGUUCUAAGCAGGCCUGGAAGAGAGUGAACGGACGGCGCUGACAAAAUUACCAAGUACGAAAAUCAGGUGGGCUUUACAGAAUUAUAAUUGAUUACAAUCAGAGACUGAUUGGCGGCAAGUCUCUGUCUAAAAAUGGAUUGAUCGAUUCAAUCCAGUCAAAAGUAUAGAGAACUAUUUUCCUAAAAAGGAAAACGAAAUAAAACAAAUGAUUGAACUGAUUUUGCUGAUGUGGAGCAUCUGAUGACGUGCGCGGAAGGCUGCAGAUCAGCAAAAAAAUAUCAUGUGUGAAUGCAUGGGAGUGAAUGUGAGUGGUUGGACCAAGGGGGGAAAUAAAUAAAAGGUUGACAAACAGGAGAAGUGGAAGACUUAAAUCUGGGGAUGCUGAUGUUCCUUUGAGUGAAUUUCUGCUUUGUUGAUUUGGGUUAGACCAUAUUAAUACAUUAUAAAAUGCUAAAAGGGAAACAUUGAUGUAACUCAAGUUACCAUUAACUGAGGUAACACAUGAUUAAUAACUGUUCUGUUCAAGUUUAUUUUUUGUUAUGACAUAGACGGGAUCAUAAGGGGAGAGUUGAGUAUGAAAUGUAAACUACAGGUUUUGUUUUCAGGAAAUUCCAAGGAUCCAGACCUUGCAUGGAGCAACGAGUUGGAGGAGAUUUGACAUGAUGAUUAAAUUGAUUUUGUUCCUUAAACACAGGUUUUCAGGGCUGAAGCAAAACACCGGAGAGGAGAAUUGCUGAGCGGUUCUGGGCAAUGAAAUGACUAACCUUUUUCCUUUUAAUUUGUUAAGCUUGGGUG